ensembl:lncRNA
CACAUCUCUGUGCCCCCGGGGCACUGGAACAGCUCAAAGCUGUGGCACAAUUUGAGGGCACUGUGCUGAAAAGUGAGCCCUGAGCAGCUGUUUGAGGAAGCAGAAUGUUUGGCUCAAAAAGAAUAUUGCUGUAUAAUCCCUCAGGCUUCUAGGGAGGAAACAGUGUCUCAUUAUAAUCCAAAAAGAGCCGGGAGUUGGGUUUGGUUCUUUUUUUUUUUUUUUUUUUUUUCAGUUUAACAUUAUUAAAAUGUAAAAUCUGUUGUGAUUCAUCCAAGGAAAGGCUCUGCUGCUUUUCUUCUGCUGCUUUGAGCAUCGUUACCGUGUGUGUCCAGUCUGAGCAGAAGCAGCAGGAAAGGAAAAGAAGAGGGGCAGAGGAAGAGGAAAAACCCAACCUCGUUCAGCAUGUUCUGCAAAUGCAGCUUCUUCUUCCGCAUGAGCAAACAGACCACGAUGGACUCCUGGGUGAUGGGUAGAGAAGUUCAGAAAGCUGCCAGGGAGCACCUAAUCCACGAGUCGGGACUGCUGAUGUUUGCUUCAGCCUGGUAUCCCAUGGUAGAGGCAUAAGGAUUAAGCAGGCUUUGGAAGGGGAGCUUGUCUUCAUAUCGGGAUGGGCAUUUCUUUGGACACACGGUCUUUGGGGUGAGAAGCCAUCAGCAGUCAGUCCUUGUUCCCAGAGAAAAGGAUAGAGAACCCAUUGGGAUGACCAGUGAUGUCAUCUCAUUUGACUUAAAUUGCAUGGACUUAAAUUGAAAUGAGUGGCAUUGGGGUUAGUCAGCAGAAGAAUGUUUCUUAGGGCGUGAUCAAGAAAAUGAAGCUCCAAUACCAGCUGGGUGAAGAAGCCACUGGAGCAACAUUACUGGAAGCUGACAUCCACUUGUUGGGAAGGCUCUAAGUGGGGGCUGGAGAAGCUCUCAGCAGUGCCUAUGGUCUUCUUCACUGCUUCAUAAAGCAGUGCUGGAGAAGAAAACCAAUUUCAGAUACAUGAAUCUCGAGAUCCUCCACCCAGGCCCUGUGAAUUUGUUGCCUUCAACCAUUGUACGCAGGCUGCUGUAGCUGGCACAGUUCCCCAGAUGCAGUUCAGGUUGUGGUCACCUACUACAGAGUGGCAGAAUAGGGACCAAGAACGUGGCCAGGAAACUUCAGGACUUCAGAUGUGGCUUUUGAGCUCUGUGACUUUCUUUAGUUCCCAGCUGGAUCUAUUCUUGUGGCUCCCAUUCUCUGCACACUGAUUGCCUGCUCUGGCUGUUGCAAGGCAGAAAGGCAAUAUAUCUGCCUAUAACAGCUGAAUUGGCCUGAGCUUUACAGAGCUAAUCAGCCAUGAAAAUGCCCCUCCUUGCUAUCCUGGAAGAAUUGACUUUAAUGAUGAGAGACAUUCUCUUUCCAGCCUGGUCAAAAGGGUAGGAGGCCUUCUGGGGAGAUUGCAGCUUGUCCUUGAGAGCAUCCCUUGCAGUCUGAGGCCUUGCUCAGAGCUUUCUUUUAACCCUCUCCUACCCUGCAGUCAGGAAUUGCCAGAGCUGAACUGCUGCACUCACACAAGGCCUGUGCACUUGCUUUAUAAUUCUUUCUCUCAGAGAUCUUCUUUCAGCACUGAACUGCUGGUGACUCCAUCCUCUUCCUCAUCUUCUGCACCCACAUCGCUCCUGGCACCUUUGGCCAUCAGGAUUGGGUGCAGCAGAUGAUCUUAGCGGUCUUUUCCAACCUUGAUGAUUCUAUGAUUCCAUGAUUUUACUUGUGUUUGGACAAAGAAAACUGGUGGGAAUGCUGCAGGUUUCUGGGAUAUUUGUCCCAUUGAUAGCACAGGUGGAGAAUCUUCUCCAUGCAGGAGCAAGUGGCUGCCACUGUGGUGUCCCAAAGGGAAUUCUGUGCAGUGGCUCAUGAUGAAGAUCCUCUUAGAGGUAAUAGCACCUAUGGACUGCAUAGCUGCACAGAAGCAAUGGGCAUCCUUCCUGGAAUCAUAGAAUCAUAGAAUCACAGAAUCAUUAAGGUUGGAAAAGAGCACUAAGACCACCUAGUCCAACCAUCAACCCAUCACCGCCAUGCCCACCAAACCGUGUCCCUCCUUCUUGG